rnacentral:tRNA from 1 species
UUCCUGGUGGCUUGGAUGGUAAAGCGUCUGCCUGCAAUGCAGGAGACCCAGGUUCGAUCCCUGGUUUGGGAA